UACGUAGGCAGCAAGCGUUGUUCGGAGUUACUGGGCGUAAAGGGUGCGUAGGCGGCUUCUUAAGUCUGGUGUGAAAUCUCCCGGCUCAACUGGGAGGGUGCGCCGGAUACUGAGGGGCUAGAGUGUGGGAGAGGAAGUGGAAUUCCUGGUGUAGCGGUGAAAUGCGUAGAUAUCAGGAGGAACACCGGUGGUGUAAACGACUUUCUGGACCAUAACUGACGCUGAGGCACGAAAGCGUGGGUAGCAAACAGG
rnacentral:rRNA from 1 species